rnacentral:tRNA from 1 species
GGGCGAUUAGCUCAGUUGGUUAGAGCGCCACGUCGACACCGUGGAGGUCACAGAUUCGAGUUCUGUAUCGCCCACCA